UACGUAGGGGGCAAGCGUUGUCCGGAUUUAUUGGGCGUAAAGAGCGUGUAGGCGGCCAUGUAGGUCCGUUGUGAAAACUCGAGGCUCAACCUCGAGACGCCGAUGGAAACCAUGUGGCUAGAGUCCGGAAGAGGAGAGUGGAAUUCCUGGUGUAGCGGUGAAAUGCGCAGAUAUCAGGAAGAACACCCGUGGCUAAGGCGGCUCGCUGGGACGGUACUGACGCUGAGACGCGAAAGCGUGGGGAGCAAACAGG
rnacentral:rRNA from 1 species